GAUGAACGCUAGCGGCGGGCUUAAUACAUGCAAGUCAAGGGGUAGCAAUACACCGGCGUACGGGUGCGUAACGCGUAUGGAACCUGCCCUUAUCUGGGGGAUAACUCGGGGAAACUCGAGCUAAUACCGCAUAAGAUAGUAGAGAGGCAUCUUUCAGCUAUUAAAGAUUUAUCGGAUAAGGAUGGCCAUGCGUAAGAUUAGAUAGUUGGCGAGGUAACGGCUCACCAAGUCUACGAUCUUUAGGGGCUCUGAGAGGAGAAUCCCCCACACUGGCACUGAGAUACGGGCCAGACUCCUACGGGAGGCAGCAGUAGGGAAUAUUGGGCAAUGGGACGGAAGCCUGACCCAGCCACGCCGCGUGC
rnacentral:rRNA from 1 species